CCGACCCCGGUAGCACCGUGGGCAAAGCGUUCACGAUGCGAUCGUGUAGUCUCAGGUUCGAAUCUUGGCUGGAAUGGGCAUGGCUGUUUGUGUUUGUCAUACAAAAAACUCUCGUGGUUCGGAACCCACGUUAAACUGAAGAAGAAGAAGAAGAAGUAACUGAGGAGUCCAACAGAGGGAUUCUAAAAUCACGACUCGAUCUCGAUACUACGAUCACGACCUCCAAUUCGAUCGUGAUUCAGUCGUGACGAGAAGAAGGGUGAUUCCAAAUUUCAAUUGUCGGCUAAACACAUUUUAUUCGAUUUGAUUUUAAGUUUGCUGGGAUAUAUUUAGAUUUUUUCCUAAUAUUUGACAUAUAGAAACGUCAAUAAUUAAUUGUGUAUAUAAACAACCAUAAACAUAAAUAAUAAAUCUAUUAAUAAU